rnacentral:rRNA from 1 species
CCACCCUGAGAACGCCCGAUCUCGUCUGAUCUCGGAAGCUAAGCAGGGUCGGGCCUGGUUAGUACUUGGAUGGGAGACCGCCUGGGAAUACCAGGU